rnacentral:tRNA from 1 species
GGUAAAAUGGCUGAUUAAGGUGAUAAAUUGUAAAUUUAUUAAUGGGGGAACCCUUUUACUA